ensembl:lncRNA
GGAUUGUGGAGGUGGCAUGCCUGAAGGAGAAGGACGGUGACGCUUGCUCUGCCCUCGUGGGUCUGGCUUCAUUCUGGGACAGAAAGCAGGCAGAGGACACUGAGAUGGGGAGGGCACUAUGGCCCUGAUCCAUUUCAGUAGCACACUCACUAUACAAAGGAGGCUGUCCACCAGGCAACGAACAGCUCAGGGAGGAUCAUCGGGGAGGAUGCACACAAUGCUUACAUCUUUUGUCCUGAGUCACUGAAUUUCAGGAGGCAACCGAAGAUUCCACCAGCUUCAGAUUCUGAAUCUGCAACCCAACCCAUCUCUCCAGUGAGCAGAGUUAAACUGCACCCCUGGGAGGAAGUGAGACUAGAAAUAAUAGAAGUGGAAAUCAGAAUUGGCAUAGAGAUCAUGAACAAAGCCAAUUGAGAGCCACAGAUUUGCCACUUCUGUAAAUAUUUACAGACAGAAUAUUAUUCAACUCAAGCUAAAGUGAAAACACCAAUGAUGCUUGAAGCCUCUUUUGGCCUUAGGUGUGAUCAGAGCCCUCAGUGACCAGGACCUUCAUAUUCACGUGAGACUGGUUUUGAACAAAUGCUUUUGCAAGAAGCACAGGGCGUGCUGCGUGGAGGAAGUACAAUGACGAUGGGGUUCGUUCUUCUUGGAAUGAUCAAGGAAAAGCAAGUUGUUUUAUGACUAAGGUAUUGCAAGUUAUCCAAAAUAUGAACACAAGAGGAUGGACUACCUUUGUUUUCUCCCCAAAGUUAUAGACUGUAAAGGAUUAGACAGAAGGCAUACUCCAGAGAGACACAGAGACCAGCAGGGAGAUGGCAGUUCCUGUACUUUGGAUGCUGGUGAUAAGACGGACAAAGGGCAACUGAAGUGCAGAGAAAGCUGAAUUCUCGCUCAGCAAUGUGGAACCAGCCAAGAGGCAGGACUGAUUCACAUAGUGAAAAGCAGAAAGGAAUAGAAUGCGGAAAGGACUAGGACUCAGAUGCCCCUGAUGGUGGGGGAAGUGCAAGGUGGUUAGAAAGUUUGCAUGGGGAGCCAUGUAAACCCUCUAGUCUGGCACUUCCCCCCAGCCCCCCUGCCACGCUUCUCUGUGCCUCCAUCCCUGGCCCUGGAAAUGUCUGAAGGUUUGCUCCCUGCAGAGGAUAAGGUGAAGGAGGCUGGGCUCAGACACCGGACUCGCUGAGGGCAGUUGAUUCUGAAAUGCCGCCUAGCUUGCCUGCUUCUUCCAUAUGAGUCCAAGAAUGUGGUCAGCCAGUACGACCUCCAGGGCAGGAUACCCCAUGAUGUUCUCCUGAAAAACCCACCAGCCCAAGAAAACAGGUGAUGGAAGAGCCCAGGUGACUGAAAGUCACACACAAGAAGCCCAUCAGCCUAGUUACUGUCCCUGCUCCCACCUCGACUUUACAGUGAACAUGUCUGUGCCUUGCUGUAAGGUGAGAUGGCUGUGAAUCAGACAUUUGAAGACGGAAAACUUCCAGUAAAAGAAACAGAAACCAAAGUACAUAGAAAAAGUGCAGGGUGGUGGCAGUGGGUAAGGCGGAGGAAGUGGGAGAAAAGACAAAGAACGGAAAAAUAGAAUUUUCUAAGAACUAUGAUUUGUAUUCUUAAGGAAAUAAAGGAAGAUAUUGCUCCUAAGAAAUUGAAGCAGGUAAAAACCGAAAAGGAAUGUACAUAGGAUAAAAGCAGGUCUUGGAAACUAAAAAAAUAGGGACAUCAAAAUGAGGAGUUUAGUGGAGGUGAUGGAAGGAGAGGGGAUAUCUCCAAGAAAACAGACUAGAGGAAAAAUUAGGAGGAAGAUGGGAGAGAAGAAUGAAGAAUAUCAGAAGAGUUCUUCAGGAGAUCUGACAUCUGAACGAAGGAAUCCCAUCAGUGGAGGCGGAUAGAAGACAGACAGGAAUGUAGCAAAGAAAUCACUUAAAAAUUCCUAGAACAGAAGGACUGGGUUUCCAGUUUGAAAAGACUCUCUGAAUGUCCUGCAAAAUGGAAGAAGAAAGAGCCUCCCCAAAGCACAGAGUCUGGAAUGUCAAAAUACAAACAACUGAGAUCAAGAAUGACCCUAACAUCUGACAGUGUGGGAGAGAAAAGGGGCCCGAGCCUUCCCGUGUGGUGAGGGCAGAGAAAGAGUGGUGUCCUGAGAUUUCAGGGAAUGAUGUCCAACAGAGAGCCUAGAGCCAGAAGGGUGAGUCGUCAGGAGGAAGUUAGAAAAACGGCAUUUCAGUUCUGCCAAUUCCUGAGGAACUUGCUUUGCAGAUACCCUUUCUCAGGAAGCUACUAGUGGAUGCUGCUGCUGCUAAGUCACUUCAGUUGUGUCCGACUCUGUGCGACCUCGUAGACAGCAGCUCACCAGGC